rnacentral:snRNA from 1 species
AUCGCUUCUCGGCCUUUUGGCUAAGAUCAAGUGUAGUAUCUGUUCUUAUCAGGGUUAGGGUCGUACGGAUUCCACAGACCUCACAGACCUCCC